rnacentral:tRNA from 1 species
GCCUUCUUGGCGCAAUCGGCUAGGGCGUUCGACUGUUAAUCGGAAGGAUGGAGGUUCGAGCCCUCCUGGAGGCG